rnacentral:rRNA from 1 species
UACGUAGGGAGCAAGCGUUGUCCGGAUUUAUUGGGCGUAAAGAGCUCGUAGGUGGCUUGGCAAGUCAGGUGUGAAAACUCCAGGCUCAACCUGGAGACGCCAUUUGAUACUGCCAUGGCUUGAGUUCGGUAGGGGACCACGGAAUUCCUGGUGUAGCGGUGAAAUGCGCAGAUAUCAGGAGGAACACCGAUGGCGAAGGCAGUGGUCUGGGCCGAUACUGACGCUGAGGAGCGAAAGCGUGGGGAGCGAACAGG